UUGAAUGUUACUUCGAACACGUUCCUCUACAAAAUAACCGACCUGUAUUUAGUGUUAUUGCUUCAACAUCAAUCGAAAAAAAUGGCAUCAAUGUAUGCGUCUAAAAAUGUUAAAUUUAGAUGGAGACAAUCCAGAAAUGAGCUGCCAGGAAGUGAUCGAUUUCGGACACGAAGAAACCAUAUUGAGGAGCUGGUCCACCUGUAGGAAGAAUUGCGCUAUUGGUUGGAGCAGCACUAUUCCCCAGCCAUACACCAGCACUUAGUUUGUCAUAGGGAGCAUUUCUGAGCAGUUAUGGAGACCACUAACUAUGCAGUUGUUGCAGUGAAACUUGCACCAGUGUGUUUACUGUGGAAAUAAAGAGACAGUGUCCGGCAAUGAAGACCCAACUCAAGAUCUGACCUUGUAAGGCCAAUAUGAAAUAACUGUGUGGAAAAAUGGGAAAAACCUGCAGUCAGGAAUGCACGGAAAUCAUCAAAAGAACAGUGUUAAAUUAAUCUUGAAUAACUUGACAUUUAUUUUGUUUGACAUAUUUAUUCAUGGUGCAGUGAAAACAUUCUUUUUUCUCAUGGUUAUUUAAAUUUAGAAUUGAUAGGAGGGAACAUCACUAUGUAGUUUCAUGUUCAUAGUCAGAUCAAAACCCAU